GUACACUCCUACGGGAGGCAGCAGUGGGGAAUAUUGGACAAUGGGCGCAAGCCUGAUCCAGCCAUGCCGCGUGAGUGAUGAAGGCCCUAGGGUUGUAAAGCUCUUUCACCGGUGAAGAUAAUGACGGUAACCGGAGAAGAAGCCCCGGCUAACUUCGUGCCAGCAGCCGCGGUAAUACGAAGGGGGCUAGCGUUGUUCGGAUUUACUGGGCGUAAAGCGCACGUAGGCGGACUAUUAAGUCAGGGGUGAAAUCCCGGGGCUCAACCCCGGAACUGCCUUUGAUACUGGUAGUCUUGAGUUCGAGAGAGGUGAGUGGAAUUCCGGGUGUAGAGGUGAAAUUCGUAGAUAUUCGGAGGAACACCAGUGGCGAAGGCGGCUCACUGGCUCGAUACUGACGCUGAGGUGCGAAAGCGUGGGGAGCAAACAGGAUUAGAUACCCCGGUAGUCCC
rnacentral:rRNA from 1 species